ACCAGGCAGUCUGAACUGAAUGAUAAUUCAGUUGAGUCCAUGCACCGGAACCAGACACACGAGUUAAGAGAAAACACUAACACUAAAAUGUAUUCGGAUGACAUUAACACAGCCACUGUGGGUCCCAUCAUAGAUGGCUUUUUUGAUAAAAUGAACAUGUCGCAGGUGCAAUCCAUGCUGGUUGGUCGCCCAGAUGACUGCACUGUCCAGCUAAUGUCUCACAUGGCUGCUCAGAUGGUGCAGCUCUGCGGGGACUCUGCCAGAGCAGUAAUGCUGCAAAACAGUAUCCCACAAGUGCGAUGCAUCCACAGCCUCUUCAGAGAACUGGAGGGGCGCAUCGGCUCGAUUGCUUUCUCUCUCACCUCGGAGUCAGAUCACGGAGCCAGAGAAGGCUUCAUAAAAGAACUUAUCCAGGUGUUGUUAGGGAGAUUUGCACACUGCACAUGCACCCAGUCUGGCAGCCAGCAGGAAAAUCAGCAGGUCCCACAGACAGAACAAACAGAGAAAGAUCUGGAGUCCUCGCUGUCUGUGGAACCUACACAAAUGGCAAACGCAGAAGCCUCAGUGGUAGAACCAGAGCCUGAAAAAGCAGCCGUGGCUUCUGAGGAGCAGAAACCCUCUGUGUCACCUCAAGGUGAAGCAGAGGGAAAAGGGCUCGUAAGCACGCUCCUUCAGGCUGUGCUUUCCCAGGCUGCAAAAAAAUCCGAAGCCUGCCCAUCAGACUCCCUCCACCAGCGCCUUUUAGAUCAAAUCUGCUCUGGAAUAAAAACAGCAGAUUUGACUUUAUCACCAAAGGCCCUACAAGAUCUCGCAAAGGUCAUUUUCAAAGACUUUUGCAAGCAAGCGCUCUGCAAACCAAAAAACAUCUUAAUUCUAUUGAAAUUAGGAGAGCCAUCAGCAGAGGAACUUUUCAUCUCCGUGUUUAAGAAACACUUGGUAGCAUCCACACAGAAACCACAGUCUUCUAAAGUCAAGCUUCUGAGGCAGCUUUUAGUUGAAGUCUAUGUGGAAAAACUUGUCAUCCGUGCUUUCGAAAAGGCACGCGUUUCCUACACAUUUGACAGAGUUUAUGAAAUUAAGUACAAUUUGUUCAAGAAAAUCUGGGCUGAUGUCCAAGAUAUUGAUUUUCAACCCUCCUCGAAGUCCUUCAACACCUUACACAAGGUCAUUUACAAAUCUCUACUUAAAGAGUAUAAGGACCCCGAGUGUGUCAUGAUUCUCUUUAAUCUUGACCAGGAAGUAUUUGAGAAAAAAAUCAUCAAAACUUUUAAAGAACAUCUGAUGUUGGCAGCGGCGCCAGCAGGUCGCAUCAAAAGGUUCUUCUCAUUUCUGGGCCGGCGUUUAGGCAUCACCCGCAGACAGUCGUGGCUGUCUCCCCUGUAAAAACAACAGAACAUUUCACAUUGACUAGCCGACAUCAAAGUGACUCUUUAAAUUGGCUAACAACAAACAAUUCAAACUAGCCAAUUUAUUUAAUAUCCAAUUGAGUCAUUUUAAACACCCCUGGACCGGUUGCGGCAGAUGACCGUCCCUCCCUGAGCCUGGUUCUGCCGGAAGUUUCUCCCUGUUAAAAGGGAGUUUUUCUUCCCCACUGUCGCCAAGUGCUUGCUCAGAGGGAAUUGUCCGAUUAUUGGGGUCUUGUUUCUAGUCAGUAAAUUACUGACUAGAACACUCUAAAUUAAUGAACAAAUAUGAGAAAAUCUAAUAAAAUUCUAAAAGAAAAAUCAC
ensembl:lncRNA